GCCCGCCUAGCUCAAUCGGAUAGAGCGUCAGACUUUUAAAGCGGGCAUUUACAAAGCAAUUUGUAAACGGGCAUCUGAAGGCUGCGAGUUCGACCCUCGCGGUGGGCU